GAUGAACGCUAGCGACAGGCUUAACACAUGCAAGUCGAGGGGCAGCACAAGGCAGCAAUGUCUGGGUGGCGACCGGCGCACGGGUGCGUAACGCGUAUGCAACCUGCCCACCAGUCUGGGACAGCCCGGCGAAAGUCGGAUUAAUACCGGAUGAAACAGGGGUCCCGCAUGGGGAUAUUUGUUAAAGGUCCGCCGCUGGUGGAUGGGCAUGCGUUCCAUUAGGUAGUUGGCGGGGUAACGGCCCACCAAGCCGUCGAUGGAUAGGGGUUCUGAGAGGAAGGUCCCCCACACUGGUACUGAGACACGGACCAGACUCCUACGGGAGGCAGCAGUGAGGAAUAUUGGUCAAUGGGCGCGAGCCUGAACCAGCCAAGUCGCGUGGAGGAAGACGGCCCUAUGGGUUGUAAACUUCUUUUGCGGGGGGGUAAAAUGCGUGACGUGUCGCGCAUUGCAAGUACCCCGCGAAUAAGCAUCGGCUAACUCCGUGCCAGCAGCCGCGGUAAUACGGAGGAUGCGAGCGUUAUCCGGAUUUAUUGGGUUUAAAGGGUGCGUAGGUGGGGGCUUAGGCCGGCGGUGAAAGUUUGCCGCUCAACGGUAAAAUUGCCGUCGGAACCGGGUCCCUUGAGUAUGCUUGAGGCAGGCGGAAUGCGUGGUGUAGCGGUGAAAUGCAUAGAUAUCACGCAGAACCCCGAUUGCGAAGGCAGCCUGCCAAGGCAUGACUGACACUGAAGCACGAAAGCGUGGGUAUCAAACAGGAUUAGAUACCCUGGUAGUCCACGCCGUAAACGAUGAUUACUAGUUGUUUGCGAUAAACGGCAAGUGACACAGCGAAAGCGUUAAGUAAUCCACCUGGGGAGUACGCCGGCAACGGUGAAACUCAAAGGAAUUGACGGGGGCCCGCACAAGCGGAGGAACAUGUGGUUUAAUUCGAUGAUACGCGAGGAACCUUACCCGGGAUUGAAAUGUACCUGACGUAUGUGGAAACACAUAUUCCAGCAAUGGCAGGUAUGUAGGUGCUGCAUGGUUGUCGUCAGCUCGUGCCGUGAGGUGUCGGCUUAAGUGCCAUAACGAGCGCAACCCUUACGGUUAGUUACCAUCAGGUCAAGCUGGGGACUCUAACCGGACUGCCGGCGUAAGCUGCGAGGAAGGUGUGGAUGACGUCAAAUCAGCACGGCCCUUACAUCCGGGGCGACACACGUGUUACAAUGGAUGGGACAAAGGGCAGCUACCGCGCGAGCGGAUGCGAAUCUUAUAAAACCUCUCUCAGUCCGGAUCGGAGUCUGCAACUCGACUCCGUGAAGCUGGAUUCGCUAGUAAUCGCGCAUCAGCCAUGGCGCGGUGAAUACGUUCCCGGGCCUUGUACACACCGCCCGUCAAGCCAUGGAAGCUUGGGGUACCUAAAGUACGUAACCGCAAGGAUCGUCCUAGGGUAAAACAAGUAACUGGGGCU
rnacentral:rRNA from 1 species